AUGGAUCCAAACCCCUCAAGCAUCCUGAGAGCAAUGAGAAAUCCUCACGAAGAAGCUAAAACCCAGCAAAAUACUGACGAAGACCCUGCUGAAGAGCAUGCAAUCCAGCAAGCUCCUGUCAAAGGACACGAAGACGGUGAUAUUGAAAGCGCAGAAACACACAGCAUGUCUCCUCAUUCGUCAGAAAAGGACACAGAACAAAACAUGAAGAACAAACCACCUGCGGCGGAAAUGGUAACUUACACCAGGCUCAACAGGAUUAAACAUCUAGCAACAAGCAAAAAAAAGAGAAAAUCAGAUACCAGCAUUGUUUUUACUCCUGGAGCAAAAAGGCGAAAGCAAAAGGACAAUGCUGAAAACAUCGUCGACACUAGUACCUUUCAGCAUCAGCCAUUACCUCUAAUGGUACUCCCGCCAACAGCACCAACCGGCACGAAGAAACAAGGUGAACGCAAGAAGAAAAACAAAUGA
rnacentral:rRNA from 1 species